AGGAUUAACGCUGGCGGCGUGCAUGAAACAUGCAAGUCGAGCGCGGUGUGAUGCGGGGUAACCCAAUUCACAUCUAGCGGCGAACGGGUGAGUAACACGUGAGCAACCUACCUUUGAGUUGGGGAUAGCCCUGGGAAACCAGGAUUAAUACCCGAUGUGGUCACAACAGGACAUCCUGAUGUGAGUAAAGGCGCAAGCCGCUCAAUGACGGGCUCGCGGCCUAUUAGCUUGUUGGUGGGGUAACGGCCUACCAAGGCGAUGAUGGGUAGCUGGUCUGAGAGGACGAUCAGCCACACUGGGACUGAGACACGGCCCAGACUCCUACGGGAGGCAGCAGUUAGGAAUUUUCCGCAAUGGGCGAAAGCCUGACGGAGCAACGCCGCGUGAGUGAUGAAGACCUUAGGGUUGUAAAGCUCUGUCGGAGGGGAAGAACACAAUGACGGUACCCUCCAAGAAAGCCCGGCUAACUACGUGCCAGCAGCCGCGGUAA
rnacentral:rRNA from 1 species